rnacentral:tRNA from 1 species
GCGGGUGUAAUUCAGUGGUAGAAUGUCAGCUUUCCAAGCUGAACGUCAGGGGUUCGAACCCCCUCACCCGCU